GACGAACGCUGGCGGCGUGCUUAACACAUGCAAGUCGAACGGAAAGGCCUGCUUUCCCUUGUGGAUUGCGGGUACUCGCGUGGCGAACGGGUGAGUAACACGUGAGUGAUCUGCCCCCAACUUGGGUAUAAGCCUGGGAAACUGGGUCUAAUUCCCGAUAGGACUGCAGGGUGGUGCCUGUGGUGGAAAACGAUUUUCUAGUGGUUGGGGAUGAGCUCGCGGCCUAUCAGCUUGUUGGUGGGGUAAUGGCCUACCAAGGCGGCGACGGGUAGCCGGCCUGGGAGGGUGGACGGCAACAGUGGGACUGAGAUACGGCCCAGACUCCUACGGGAGGCAGCAGUGGGGAAUAUGGAACAAUGGGCGGAAGCCUGAUGCAGCGACGCCGCGUGGGGGAUGACGGCCUUCGGGUGGUAAACUCCUUUCGACCGCGAGGAAGCCACCUGGUUGGAAGGGUGGUGACGGUAGUGGUAGAAGAAGCACCGGCUAACUACGUG
rnacentral:rRNA from 1 species